AGGCAGAGGAAAGCCCAAACGUGAUGUUAAACACACGGAGGAGACCCCACAUGGGUUACUCACACAGAUGCUGCCAAAGAUCCUGCUGUUUCAUACCGUGCAGAGUGAAUAAACUAUGGCAACUCCCUUGAGAUGCCCUUGGGCCCAGACUCAAGUUCUACUUGGAGAAGAUUGAGAAAUUGAAAUAAGCUGUCUUUGACUGAGC